UACGUAGGGUGCAAGCGUUAAUCGGAAUUACUGGGCGUAAAGCGUGCGCAGGCGGCUUUGCAAGACAGAUGUGAAAAUCCCCGGGCUUAACCUGGGAACUGCAUUUGUGACUGCAUGGCUGGAGUGCGGCAGAGGGGAUGGAAUUCCGCGUGUAGCAGUGAAAUGCGUAGAUAUGCGGAGGAACACCGAUGGCGAAGGCAAUCCCCUGGGCCUGCACUGACGCUCAUGCACGAAGA
rnacentral:rRNA from 1 species